rnacentral:lncRNA from 1 species
CACACCACUCCACCACCAUCCCAAUCUACCUCCCGCACACCACCUCGACCUCGAGAAGGUCUUCUUCCCCGGCUCCGACUACCGAUCCGCCACCAGCCUCCCUGAUCAGCACGACACCACCACUCCACCCCCACCUCCAAAAAUCUGCCAGUAGCCCACUGAUCCACCAUGUGAUCAUUUCCGUGCUUCAAUUUGACAACCGGAGCCCUCUCCGGCGAAGCCCACAACCACCCGACACCGUCGUCCGCCGGAGUCAACCUCGUCGUCGUCCUGGUGCUCGCCGGCGACCACCACCACUACCCACCUACGCGGGGUGCCACCCCGAACGCGUCCCGACCAUCGCCGCCUCCUGAAACGCUGGCGAUCGCCGCCGGUGACCACCGCCUCCCCUCUGUGCACGCGCGCGUAAAGCGCGUUUGAAUUUCGAACCUGACGGGUGGGACCGACCCGUCAGUAUUUUGUUCUUUUCUGUUUUUUGGGAAGCGUCUCUCCGAUUUAAGCUUCCUUCUCGGGGAAGCGUAUUCUGGGCGAGGCGUUUUUACUUGUUACCGCCGGGACCCGCUGGCAAUUAUUUUGUUACAGAGAGGUCCCUGGUUUUAAAUCCUUAAUAACUUUUAAACCACACAUCAGUUUCAAUUGUUUCUUUUUCUGAAAUUCUUGUUUUUCACUCUAGUUUAUUUUAGUAUUUUCUUAAAAAUAGUUUGAGACAACUUUUUGUGCGGUUGCAAAAAAGUUGAAUUUGGACUUUCAUUUUCAGAAAGCGAAGAGGGGGACUAUACCGGGAGUUUUGAAGAACCUCUUGCUGAUUACUUUGGUCAAGGCAAGUAUUAUUGGACUUGGGUUAUAGUGAAAUACCUUCCUGGUUGCAUCGGAGUAGUUUUGCACCAUAUAGUAGUGAUAGUGGAAGCAUGCAUCGGUCACGUCAAUUUAAGCACUAUUGCAUGAACCCUGUUGCAUGUCAUGUGAGCACUAUUUCACUCUUCAGGUAUUUUGCUAACGUAUGAAUGUGGAUAGAAUCCAGGAGUGUAUCUCCUGCCUUGGACAUGCCGAUGGGCACGGGCUGUGUCACGACAAGACGGUGUCACUAUGGCAUGUGAGACAUGCCAGUCUUGUAACAAUACCUCCUGAGUCG